rnacentral:tRNA from 1 species
GCCUGGGUGGCUCAGUCGGUUAAGCGGCUGACUUCGGCUCAGGUCAUGAUCUCGCGGUCUGUGAGUUCGAGCCCCACAUCGGGCU